UAACACCGCUCAUUUGUUUACGCAAGGCAAGUCUUAUCCUUAUCUUUGUGAAUGAUCUGCAUAUUGUGCAUCAAGACUAGAACUCUGUUCUUGUAUACUCUCUGAAGGUAGAUUUUGAUUGCAAAUCAAUCACUCUUGUAGCUGUUGUUUCCUUAUCAGUUUAGACUACCAUGUUGGCUAGAGUUUGUUGCCUUUUGAACCUCUUUCUGUCCUAACAUUUCUCCACUAAUUUAGGCAAUGUUGCUAAAAGCAGAGUGUGAGUGUUCAACCUUGUUUCUCCCAUAUUUUAACUCACCUUAUCACUCAAUCUACUGAUAAAUCCAUAUUCAAGGAGAAAUGUACUGAAACGAUCAAACCAGGCACGCAGAGCUUGUUUAAGUCCAUAGAGAGCCUUCUGUAAUUUGCAGAUAUAUCCGCCAUUCCUAGUGGUUGUUUUAUAUAUAUAUCUUCGGUGAUGUUACCAUGCAAAAAUACAUUCUUUACAUCAAGUUGUUGAAUAGGCCAUCCUUGAACCAGUGCUGCGCUAAUAAUCAUCUGUAUAGUGCCUGAUUUGAUAACCAGAGAAAAGGUUUCAAUGCAGUCAAUCCCAUCAAUUUGAUGGUACCCUUUUGCAACAACACAAGCCUUUAGUCCGUCUGAAGAUCCAUCAGGUUUCAGUUUUAGAGCAAAUUACAUGUAGGUCUAGAGUGCGAGGAACAAGAGUCCAUGUUUGAUUUAAUUGUGGGGCAGUAAAUUCUUCUUCCAUUGCAGUUUUCCAACCAGGAUGAGCCAGAGCUGACUGAACAUUUUGUGGCUCCCUGGGUACAUUGUGAGAGGAUAUGGAUGUCAAGGCAUAUUUUGGAUUUGGUUUUACAGCACCAAGUUUGAAUCGUGUAACCAUAGAGUGAGAAUCUUGUCCUUGAGAGGGCUGGGGAAUUUUUGAUGCAGGUUCUGUUCGUGGAGCUUUUGAACGAGUGGUUGAUUGGGACCAAGUGAUCACUGGGUGAGAAGGCUGGAGAACCCUCAGGUUGUGGUCUACUGUGAACCGUCUGUGGAAGUAUUGUGUCAGGAGUGUUUUGUGUCGGAGUGGAGACUACUGGCAGCGGAUUGAUGCAUCGAGAUGAAUCCAUUAUCUUAGUAUUUCCUGCAAUGUUAUGAGAAUUAGUGUGAGGAAUCCAAGUGUCAAAGAUAUGUAAUGUAUGUGAUGAAGGCUGAAUAGUAGUUGAUGGUUUGUAAGGAAAAAUUGUUUCAUCGAAAACAUGGCGCGAAAUUAGAAUUUUUCUGCUUGGAGGAUGAUGGCACUUGUAUUCUUUAUGUGUUGCACUGUAACCGAUGAAAAUAUAAUAGUUAUUGAUCGUUUGAAUAAUAUUUUUAAAAAAUUUUAAAUC